rnacentral:lncRNA from 1 species
UCUGAUUUUAACCAAGACAAAAUAUUUCACUCGCAAAAACCUUAGUCUAGAAGACACAGUUACUUCAUUUGACAAGGAAGCCAUCAUCCACUGACUUAACCCUUUGGAAAGAUGAUAUUGCCUUAGUUGAUUCUAAUACUCUGUCUAAUGAUGUGGAGCUAAAGCCUGUCUUGUUUCUUUUCCUGGGCCAUCUUGGCUUUUUAGAGCCAGGCCCUUGUGCUUUAGUGAGGAAGAAGUAAUGAUGUGAGUAAGUCCAAAAAGUAAAAACUCAAACUUAGACAUUGCUUACUUUAAAUAUAACAUAGCUUACUGAUACCUCUAAUUCUAUAAAGAAAAUGUAUGCAUUAUUCGUACCCCAGAUAUUUAUUGCAUUCCUGGUACAGGCAU